CGGAAGAUGUAACGGGGCUAAACCAUGCACCGAAGCUGCGGCAGCGACACUAUGUGUUGUUGGGUAGGGGAGCGUUCUGUAAGCCUGCGAAGGUGUGCUGUGAGGCAUGCUGGAGGUAUCAGAAGUGCGAAUGCUGACAUAAGUAACGAUAAAGCGGGUGAAAAGCCCGCUCGCCGGAAGACCAAGGGUUCCUGUCCAACGUUAAUCGGGGCAGGUGAGUCGACCCCUAAGGCGAGGCCGAAAGGCGUAGUCGAUGGGAAACAGGUUAAUAUUCCUGUACUUGGUGUUACUGCGAAGGGGGGACGGAGAAGGCUAUGUUAGCCGGGCG
rnacentral:rRNA from 1 species